UACGUAGGGACCAAGCGUUGUUCGGAUUUACUGGGCGUAAAGGGCGCGUAGGCGGCUUGACAAGUCACUUGUGAAAUCUCCGGGCUUAACUCGGAACGGCCAAGUGAAACUGUCAUGCUAGAGUGCAGAAGGGGCAAUCGGAAUUCUUGGUGUAGCGGUGAAAUGCGUAGAUAUCAAGAGGAACACCUGAGAUGAAGACGGGUUGCUGGGCUGACACUGACGCUGAGGCGCGAAAGCCAGGGGAGCAAACGGG
rnacentral:rRNA from 1 species